rnacentral:misc_RNA from 1 species
AAAAAAACAAGGGUUUUUCAGAUGCACAUCUUCUUUUACUAGCAGGGGAAUUAAUUGAUAAUAUAAACAUGGGAGCAAAAUCUAUGGUAUAUUGCAAACUUGUGGUUAGCCUCAAUUCAACCCCUGCUAAAAAUGUUCUUUGGUUUAAAGAAUUGACCUUUAAUGCCUGAAAUAAUGCUUUGUAUAUAUGAUAUUGGCAUCUAAUUAACUUUGCGAUGAUUGUAUAUGAUCUAAUUGAUUAUGACGAUGUUUUAGCUUAUAAGAAUUAACAAAUCUUGGAAUGGAUUUCAGUCAACAAUGUGUUUACUCAUUUUGUGGUUUUGUAUGUUAGUUCUCUCCUUGAAUAUGUAUAGUGCAG